AGGAAGCCCAGGGUUCCCCUGCUAGCACCUGCAGGAGAUGGAAACCACUUGAUCUCCUGCCUUCCUGCUAGAAUCCUCGCCCAGGCCCAGCUGCUAAUCACAAUAAAAGCCCCACGCCAGUCGCUUUCUUCAGCCAUUUUGGAUCCGCGAACAACUACCCUGCUCAUCCCAGAGACCUCAACAGGGUUGCGAUGGGUCAGAUAUUGUGCUAAGUGACAAAGGGAAGCAGGAAAAGAGAAGAUGACUCCUUCAGUGGUCCCAAGUGACGCUGCAAGAGAUACAGGACCUUGGUGGAAAAAGUCAAAGAUGAGCCCAGAGGGAGAGCCACAGAAUUCGAAACAGCCGGCCUUGGAAAAGCCCUCGUAGACCAUCUAACCACGCUCCCAGGGCAGGAAAGAAAAACAAACUGGAGCCCACUGACAUUUAUGACUCUUACCUGCGGCGCAGAUCCUCAGCCACUGCUGCCCGGCAGCUGAACAAAUAGGCCCGAAGCGACUUCAGCCGCUGCCGCAGCCGCACCACCGCAGCCAGCGGCUCCGCAUGGAGGUACAGCAUGGGGUUCUCCUGCUGGAUGUCAAUCAGGGGCUCUUCGUACACGUACUCCAGAAACUCUUUGGCCUGCUUAGACACCUGCAAAAUAAACUUCCUCAAUCAGUUCUGGUGAAUUAGUCAGCCUCCCAAAAACUAGGAACCAUAGCUUAAGUAUCAAAGUAGUAUUUUCUGAACACAGUCAAAUGAGAAAACUGAUAAUUCAAAUAUAGAUUCGGCCUUCUCUUUUAGAGCUUCAACAGGUAAAAGUAUUCUGAGCACUGAAUGGAAGUCAUUAAUUCUGUUUCUUGAUUAUGGUGGUGAUUAUAUAAAUCUGCAAGAGAGGUAAAAUGACACAGAACUUUUCAGAUCAGGUAUACCAAUUGUCAACUUACCAUUCGUUAUUUUGUACGAUAUAGUUAUUACCUAUGCUGUAAUCUCAGGUGGGGGAAUCUGGAUGAAAGACAGCCAGGUAUUCUCUGCUAACUAUGCAGCUUCUUGUAUAAAUGAAGUAGAAAAAGAAUUAGUUAAGAUUUCCU